GCUCGUUAAUUUUGAUUUCAGUCCGGAACCGGCCCCAAAAAGGGGGUACGUGGUUUGUUUUCAAAACGUGGCAGCUAUACAAAUUCAGUUGAUUUCUUUUAAAACAUCAUUCUCCCUGCAUCUCUUUUCUCUCAAUCUCUCUCUCGCUCAUCUCUCUCUUCUCUCCCCAGUCUCUCCCUCUCGCGCUCAACCUCUCUUCCCUCGCACUUCUCCCUGAAUUUCUCUCCCGCGCUGUUUCUUCCUCUCCUGUCUUCCUUUCCCCUCGGUUUUCCGGCGUCGCCUCACCUCCGGGAAUCGCCGCCGCUCUCCGCCGGCCUCACUCUUUCUUCCUUCCUUUCCCGAGUUGCUGCUGGGUACCGAGUCGACUGGGAUGUUCAGAAAUAGUGAAUAGUAUCGUGGAGCGAGGCUGGCAUAAACCAAUGAAGUGAAGCUGUGCUAUGAAUAUUUUAUUAAAGUCUGUCAGAAACUAAGCAGAAGGGAACAGUUCAGUAGAUAGUACUAUUAGAAAUCUGAGUUAGACACCAGAGUUAAGAGUCGACUGGGAUGUUCAGAAAUAGUGAAUAGUAUCGUGGAGCGAGGCUGGCAUAAACCAAUGAAGUGAAGCUGUGCUAUGGAUAUUUUAUUAAAGUCUGUCAGAAACUAAGCAGAAGGGAACAGUUCAGUAGAUAGUACUAUUAGAAAUCCGAGUUAGACACCAGAGUUAAGCUAGGGAUUAAGAUGAUUCGUUUGUCAAGCUGCGCGUAGAAGUAAUGCUAGGCGAGAUUGCCAGUGAGAUGUCUGCAAGAAUAGUAUGGGUUAGAAUUGUUCUAUUUCAGUUAUUGUAUAAUACAUUUAUUUAUUGGUUAUCAGUUACUCUUCUUAUCGAGGUUUAACUGAUAAUGUAGUUUAAGUUGUAAUAAGAUUUGAUAGUUUUUGGUUUCUGAUUUCAGUGCUGUAACCUAUUAGCGA